rnacentral:rRNA from 1 species
UCGCCUGUUUAUCAAAAACAUCGCCUCUUGCUAACAAUGAAGUAUUAGAGGUCCCGCCUGCCCUGUGACAGCAGUGUUUAACGGCCGCGGUAUUUUAACCGCGCGAAGGUAGCGUAAUCACUUGUCUUUUAAAUGGAGACCUGUAUGAAUGGCAUAACGAGGGUUUGACUGUCUCCUCCCCCCAGUCAAUGAAAUUGAUCUGCCCGUGCAGAAGCGGGUAUAACAACAUAAGACGAGAAGACCCUAUGGAGCUUUAGGCAAAUAAUCAAGCACAUACAACCCAAGCACCAAACAAAGCCAGGGAAACAAAAACCGCUGAUUAACCUGCCUUCGGUUGGGGCGACCAUGGAAGAAAGAAAAACCUCCAAGUGGAACGGGAGAACCCUUCAACCAAGAGACACAACUCCAAGUACCAGAAAAUCUGACCAACAAUGACCCAGGAUACCCCUGAUCAACGAACCAAGUUACCCUAGGGAUAACAGCGCAAUCCUCUCCCAGAGUCCAUAUCGACGAGGGGGUUUACGACCUCGAUGUUGGAUCAGGACAUCCUAAUGGUGCAGCCGCUAUUAAGGGUUCGUUUGUUCAACGAUUAAUAGUCCUACGUGAUCUGAGUUCAGACCGG